GAUUUUUAUCAUAGCUUGCUAUGAUAAAAAUUAGUGGCAGACGGGUGAGUAAUGCAUAGGAAUCUACCUAGUAGUAUGGGAUAGCCACUAGAAAUGGUGGGUAAUACUGUAUAAUCCCUGCGGGGGAAAGAUUUAUCGCUAUUAGAUGAGCCUAUGUUAGAUUAGCUAGUUGGUAGGGUAAAGGCCUACCAAGGCAGUGAUCUAUAGCUGGUCUGAGAGGAUGAUCAGCCACACUGGAACUGAGAUACGGUCCAGACUCCUACGGGAGGCAGCAGUGGGGAAUAUUGGACAAUGGGCGCAAGCCUGAUCCAGCUAUGCCGCGUGAGUGAGGAAGGCCUUAGGGUUGUAAAACUCUUCCAGUGGGGAAGAUAAUGACGGUACCCACAGAAAAAGUCCCGGCAAACUC
rnacentral:rRNA from 1 species